AUCUGUUCUUAUCAGUUUAAUAACUGAUAUGUUCCCUACAUGAGGACUGCAUAUUAAAUAGAUUUUUGGAUCACGGAGCUGGAGCGGGGGCUUGCUCCGUCUACUCCACGCAUCGGCCUGGUAUUGCAGUGUCUCCUCGAACGGUGU
rnacentral:snRNA from 1 species